rnacentral:rRNA from 1 species
CCUACGGGAGGCAGCAGUGGGGAAUAUUGCUCAAUGGGCGGAACCCUGAUCCAGCGACGCCGCGUGGGUGAUGAAGGACUUCGGUGUUUUAAGCUCUAUCUGCAGGGAAGUAAAUGACGGUACCUGACUAAGAAUCCCCGGCUAACUUCGUGCCAGCAGCCGCGGUAAUACGUAGGGGGCAAGCGUUAUCCGGAUUUACUGGGUGUAAAGGGGGCGUAGACGGCGUGGCAAGUCUGUUGUGAAAGGCCGGGGCUCAAUCCCGGGAGUGCAUGGGAAACUGGCAUGCUGGAGUGCAGGAGGGGCAAGCGGAAUUCGUAGUGUAGCGGUGAAAUGCGUAGAUAUUAGGAGGAACACCGGUGGCGAAGGCGGCUUGCUGGACGGUAACUGACGUUGAGGCUCGAAAGCGUGGGGAGCAAACAGGAUUAGAUACCCUGGUAGUC